rnacentral:rRNA from 1 species
UACGAGGGGAGCAAGCGUUGUUCGGAUUUACUGGGCGUAAAGGGCGCGUAGGCGGCCACGACAAGUCACUUGUGAAAUCUCCGGGCUUAACUCGGAACGGUCAAGUGAUACUGUCGGGCUAGAGUACAGAAGGGGCAACUGGAAUUCUCGGUGUAGCGGUGAAAUGCGUAGAUAUCGAGAGGAACACCAGUGGCGAAGGCGACUCACUGGACACGUAUUGACGCUGAGGUGCGAAAGCGUGGGGAGCAAACAGG